AGCCUCGGGCCGGGCUGCGUGAGGGAGGAGGGUUCAUCAUGCCUAGUGGCGUAUAAGAAGACCCCGCCACCGGUCCCUCCACGCACCACUUCAAAGCCGUUCAUCUCAGUCACAGUCCAGAGCAGUACUGAGUCUGCCCAGGACACCUACCUGGACAGCCAGGACCACAAGAGCGAGGUGACUAGCCAGUCGGGCCUGAGCAACUCGUCGGACAGCCUGGACAGCAGUACCCGACCGCCCAGCGUGACACGGGGUGGAGUCGCCCCAGCCCCUGAGGCCCCAGAGCCACCCCCAAAACAUGCAGCUCUGAAAAGUGAACAAGGGACGCUGACCAGCUCUGAGUCCCACCCCGAGGCCGCCCCCAAAAGGAAACUGUCAUCGAUAGGAAUACAAGAGAGGACUAGAAGGAACGGUUCCCACCUCUCGGAGGACAACGGACCCAAAGCGAUCGAUGUGAUGGCACCCUCCU
rnacentral:lncRNA from 1 species